AUUUAACAUUAAAAUAAUCGAGUCUCAUUAUUUUUAGACUACCACCGCUUCUAAAAUACCAUUUUUCUGGGGUUUUACAUUCUCCCCAAUAAGAAAAAUUUUCGUUCUCGAAAAUUCACUCAUCAGGAACAACCUACUAUCAUCACAUUCUCUAUUACAACCACCUAUUUGACAAAGAUACUACUCCCCAAUAAUCUUACUAACACGAAAAACCUUGCUUUUGUACUAAAAUUUUAUAGUGCUCAAUAGUGUAGAUUAGUGUAACCAUUAUUCUCAAAAUAAAUUUGAACCCCUACACCUCAGCUUUUAAGAACCUUUCUUUCACAUAGUCAACCAUAUUAUAUCUGUCGCACUGCCAACCCCUCAUCUAUCCUCCGCCACUUAUCUUAAAUCUCUUCUAAAACUUCCACUAGCCUUGACUUCAACCGAUACUUUUUUACCUCCCCUUGCUUCCUUUACGAACCUCUAUACACUAACUUGAUCACUGCAAUUUCUGAUUUAACUACCAACUGUUAUGCUCUUGAUUACAUUUAACUACACCCAUUCUGAGGACUUCACAUUACUUUAUUGGUCUCCACUCUUGAAUAACAUAGUUUCCCACUAUGUUAUCCAUUAAAAAAGUAAAACUCUUCUCUGCUGUAACGAGAAAACCAAUUUAAGCACUCCAUCUUCAUUUCGUUAACUCACUGACCUGAACCAUAUGCAUUUCUUGACCCACUAGCCUAUAGUCAUACUAGCUUGAUUAGUACAAAGCCAACUUAUGAUACAUCUCAAACUAGGAUUGUUUAAACUGUGCUUUCUCAACCAUUUUGAGAAACCCAAUAGUUAUAGCAUUUCAACUAUACUAAUGAAAUCUCUUUCCAACUUCACUUCAAACUCCAGUCUUCAUAUUCUUCAACUAACUCUUACUCAAAUCUUACCAAACCAAGAACUUGAAUAUCCUCUUUGUUCAAACCAUCAACUAACACUUCCUUACCUCAUAUUGACACUACAACUCGAAAUCACUAAAUAUGAAAUAUAACUUCAAUUAUUAACGAAGUUAAAAU
rnacentral:lncRNA from 1 species